rnacentral:misc_RNA from 1 species
GAUGAAGAACGUAGCGAAAUGCGAUAAGUAGUGUGAAUUGCAGAAUUCAGUGAAUCAUCGAAUCUUUGAACGCACAUUGCGCCCUUUGGUAUUCCUUAGGGCAUGCCUGUUCGAGCGUCAUUUAAACCUUCAAGCUCAGCUUGGUGUUGGGUGACUGUCCGCUUCACCGCGGACUCGCCUCAAAAUUAUUGGCGGCCGGUACAUUGGCUUCGAGCGCAGCAGAAACGCGAACUCGGGCCCGUCGUAUUGGCUCCCAGAAGCUAUCUUCACAAUUUUGACCUCGGAUCAGGUAGGGAUACCCGCUGAACUUAAGCAUAUCAAAAGCGGAGGA